rnacentral:rRNA from 1 species
CACGUAGGCACCAAGCGUUGUCCGGAUUUAUUGGGCGUAAAGAGCUCGUAGGCGGUUCGGCAAGUCGGGCGUGAAAACUUUGGGCUCAACCCAAAGCCUGCACUCGAUACUGCUGUGACUUGAGUCCGGUAGGGGAGUGGGGAAUUCCUGGUGUAGCGGUGGAAUGCGCAGAUAUCAGGAGGAACACCGGUGGCGAAGGCGCCACUCUGGGCCGGUACUGACGCUGAGGAGCGAAAGCGUGGGGAGCGAACAGG